rfam:Ipomoea nil DNA, scaffold: scaffold0380, cultivar: Tokyo-kokei standard.
UUGUGGCAUUGAUGAUAACAAUUCAGCUUUCAAACGCCAGUUCUGCUUCUGAAUACCCUUGAUUGAUAGAGCUGUAGUUUUAUCUGAGCCUAUU